rnacentral:rRNA from 1 species
GAACGCUGGCGGCGUGCCUAACACAUGCAAGUCGAGCGAGGAGAUCCUUCGGGAUGAUCCUAGCGGCGGACGGGUGAGUAACACGUGGGCAACCUGCCUCAUAGAGAGGAAUAGCCUUCCGAAAGGGAGAUUAAUACCUCAUAACAUUGCAGUUUCGCAUGGAACAGCAAUUAAAGGAGUAAUCCGCUAUGAGAUGGGCCCGCGGCGCAUUAGCUAGUUGGUGAGGUAACGGCUCACCAAGGCGACGAUGCGUAGCCGACCUGAGAGGGUGAUCGGCCACAUUGGGACUGAGACACGGCCCAGACUCCUACGGGAGGCAGCAGUGGGGAAUAUUGCACAAUGGGGGAAACCCUGAUGCAAGCAACGCCGCGUGAGUGAUGACGGCCUUCGGGUUGUAAAGCUCUGUCUUCAGGGACGAUAAUGACGGUACCUGAGGAGGAAGCCACGGCUAACUACGUGCCAGCAGCCGC